rnacentral:rRNA from 1 species
GAUGAAAGCUAGCUACAGGCGUAACACAUGCAAGUCGAGGGACCGGCGCACGGGUGAGUAACACGUAUCCAACCUGCCCUUUACUCGGGGAUAGCCUUUCGAAAGAAAGAUUAAUACCCGAUAUAAAGGAUGGGGAUGCGUUCCGUUAGGUUGUUGGUGAGGUAACGGCCAACCAAGCCUUCGAUGGAUAGGGGUUCGGAGAGGAAGGUCCCCGACAGUGGAACUGAGAAAAGGUCCAAACUCCUACGGGAGGCAGCAGUGAGGAAUAUUGGUCAAUGGGCGUUAGCCUGAACCAGCCAAGUAGAGUGAAGGAUGAAGGCUUAUGGGUCGUAAACUUCUUUUAUAUAAGAAUAUGUAAUCUAUGAACAAGGAUCGGCUAUCUCUGUGCCAGUAGCCGCGUUAAUUC